rnacentral:rRNA from 1 species
ACGAACGCUGGCGGCGUGCUUAACCCAUGCCAGUCGCACGGAAAGGCCCUGCUUUUGUGGGGUGCUCGAGUGGCGAACGGGUGAGUAACACGUGAGUAACCUGCCCUUGACUUUGGGAUAACUUCAGGAAACUGGGGCUAAUACCGGAUAGGAGCUCCUGCUGCAUGGUGGGGGUUGGAAAGUUUCGGCGGUUGGGGAUGGACUCGCGGCUUAUCAGCUUGUUGGUGGGGUAGUGGCUUACCAAGGCUUUGACGGGUAACCGGCCUGAGAGGGUGACCGGCCACAUUGGGACUGAGAUACGGCCCAGACUCCUACGGGAGGCAGCAGUGGGGAAUAUUGCACAAUGGGCGGAAGCCUGAUGCAGCAACGCCGCGUGCGGGAUGACGGCCUUCGGGUUGUAAACCGCUUUCGCCUGUGACGAAGCGUGAGUGACGGUAAUGGGUAAAGAAGCACCGGCUAACUACGUG